UACGUAGGCAGCAAGCGUUGUUCGGAGUUACUGGGCGUAAAGGGUGUGUAGGCGGUUCUUUAAGUUCGCUGUGAAAUCUCCCGGCUUAACCGGGAGGGUGCGGUGAAUACUGAGGGACUAGAGUACGGGAGAGGAAAGUGGAAUUCCUGGUGUAGCGGUGAAAUGCGUAGAUAUCAGGAGGAACACCGGUGGUGUAGACGGCUUUCUGGACCGUAACUGACGCUGAGACACGAAAGCGUGGGUAGCAAACAGG
rnacentral:rRNA from 1 species